CGGAGCUGGGUGCGGUGAGCAGUUGGGGAGAGUGAGGGGGACCCUGGGCAGUGGGCCCAGCACAGGGAGACACCUCAACCAAGAGGCUCUGUAGGCCAGACUUGGAGGGGGAUCGUAACCCUGACAGGGCGGGGGCGACGCUGGGUCCUGCCACCUAGAGCCUGAGAGUGUGUGGCCCCCUCCAGAACAAGUGUCCGACCCACAGCAUCCCUGCAGCACAGCCAGGGCCUGAGAAGGAGCCUGGGACCUACAAGGAACAGACUGUGAACUGCCCUGACAUUCCAGAGACACUGUUUGUGAUGUUCCCUGCCACAGAGCGGGGUUCGGAAGAGUACGGGGAAAGGCAUCUUACUCACAUGAGUCCCGAUCCAAAGCCUUUUAAAGUUAAUGGAAGAAAAGACCUACUGUCACCUCAGAGACUGGAUGAGAAGGUCAAGCUGCAGUUUCUUCUUCAUAGGCAAUUUGAGUUCAACUCACCAAUCAGAGCCAUCACAUUAUGGUGUCACUGGAGCUGAAGAUACUUUACAUGCAUGAGCAUGCUGCUCCUGUAGGUGACUUGCUGGAUUUCAAGCUGACAGGUUAAUACUAAGUAAAUCGCUUUCAUCUCAACAUUUUCCAAAAUGUGCUUGGAAUUUAAAUAACUUUCCAAUAUUUGCCAAUCUAAAGGAAAGUGGAAUGCCUGCUUUUAGGGUACUUAUUUAUUGAGGCUCAAAGAAGGGACAAACCAGAAUUAAAUCAGCAGUACUGACAGCCUCAAGCAUUCAAAAAUAAUGAACAGGUCUCCAAAAAAAUCAUGAACAAAUUUGGGGUUCUUUUUAUUUGCUUUUUGGUUCAUGUUUUCAAGCUUUUGUCCAUGACCAGGAGGGAUAGAAACUUAUUUUCAUUUAAAAUGGUAGCUGAGAUUCUCAUGUAAUCACAUGAUUCAAGGAGCUGGAAUUUUAAGAAUAAGCACUAUUAUCACAAAAGUUGGCAACACUCUUGAAAUAGGAAAUGGGGGAAUCAAAACUGCGCAAGAACCCAAGGCCUUCCUGUGAGAAAAGCUAUCUGGGUUAGGAUGUGAGACGUUCAGUCACUGGGAGAAGGAAUUAAAGCAGAGAAAUAAAGGCCUUACUUUGGACAUAGACAAGUGGCUCUAAGGAAAACUGUGACUCCCAGUGUUCAGAGUCUGAUUUUGACAUCAUGCUAGUUUAUGUCAGUCAUAAAAUCAUUUUGUUGACUGGAAUUACACCAAGUGGUCAUGGCUGCUAUUGGAGGCUGAGCACUUUUGCUGCUCAGAUACCAUGGUGACACGAGCCUCGGUAUUACCCAAAUUAGAAAAUCUAGAAGCCAGUUUAUUAUUCUAACUAAUCCAGUAUCUACAGAGGGAGCUGAGACAUUUCUGCUUAGUCACAUGGAGGGUUUUGUAGACCAAGAAAAUUGCGCCUCAAUUCUAAUUUGAAGUGUCAUCUGUUCCUUUGGGCUUUAAGAUGUAAAUAUGGAUGCCAUGCAAGGAGGACUAGCAUGACUAGAGAUGAUUGUUUGGAGGGUUGUCUUUCUUCCCCUUGAUUUGUAGAUCUGAAGUGAUACAGAAAUAAUAGCCACCUCUGGGUACUCUGAAGAUGCACAUUUACUACAGGCAUUCUGACUAGCUGAGAUGCACUCUGUUUUGAUAUGAUUCUACAUAGUACUACUUUGGGAACAUUCUAGCUGCACGGCACCAUCAAGCUGAUGGUGGAAACAUAACUGGGAGAUAUUAUAAUCUCUAAACUAUUCCUAUAUUCAGGAAUAUUAGCAUUAAUUGGUUUGUUUUGGCUCAAAUAUAUUUUGUCCUAGUGAAAAGGGAGUAUGUGAAGUUCAGUGAAUCAAGCUUUUGGAUUAGCUGAAGUGGCAAGAAGAAAUGUGUUGAAGUUAGUAGAAGUAAAUACAUCAGAAGUUUAACUAGAAUUCGCUGUCAAUAUAAAAAAUGUAUGCAAGAGCAGACGUAAUUAAUGCUCAUACUGUAGCAUUUUGUAAUUUCUUGAUUAAGUAAAGAAAAGAUGUAAAUCCAAAGAGUGCUAACUCUUCAUAAUUGAGACAUGUGAGCUGGAAAACCAAAUAAGUGUAAUUUUUAAUUAAAUACACACAAUUUUAAGAUCAGAUAUUGUGUUAAAGACGCUUCUGCUGAUACAGGCACUUAUUUAACUAAUUUCUACAUGUGCUUACAAACAAAAAUGGUAGAAUGCUGUCUUUGUAUUUUUUUAGUAUGGUGAGCCAUUUCUGACAAUUAAUUAGCCAUUAGCUUGUCCUUGUAAUUACUGGGCAUACGUCCUUCAUUAAUCACUUUCAUAAUGGAGUAGAGUGUAAGCCAGUGGUUCCCAAACUUGGUUCGUGGC